rnacentral:rRNA from 1 species
CCUACGGGGAGCAGCAGUGAGGAAUAUUGGUCAAUGGACGCAAGUCUGAACCAGCCAUGCCGCGUGCAGGAAGACGGCUCUAUGAGUUGUACACUGCUUUUGUACGAGGGUAAACGCAGAUACGCGUAUCUGUCUGAAAGUAUCGUACGACUAAGGAUCGGCUAACUCCGUGCCAGCAGCCGCGGUAAUACGGAGGAUUCAAGCGUUAUCCGGAUUUAUUGGGUUUAAGGGGUGCGUAGGCGGUCGGAUAAGUUAGAGGUGAAAUCCCGAGGCUCAACUUCGGAAUUGCCUCUGAUACUGUUCGGCUAGAGAGUAGUUGCGGUAGGCGGAAUGUAUGGUGUAGCGGUGAAAUGCUUAGAGAUCAUACAGAACACCGAUUGCGAAGGCAGCUUACCGGGCUACUUCUGACGUUGAGGCACGAAAGCGUGGGGAGCAAACAGGAUUAGAUACCCUUGUAGUC